UACGGGGGGUGCGAGCGUUGUCCGGAAUCACUGGGCUUAAAGGGCGCGUAGGCGGGCCGUCAAGUCAGGGGUGAAAGCCCCCAGCUCAACUGGGGAAGUGCCUUUGAUACUGACGGCCUCGAGGGAGAUAGGGGCGUGCGGAACUUCCGGUAGAGCGGUGAAAUGCGUAGAUAUCGGAAGGAACACCGGUGGCGAAAGCGGCGCGCUGGAUCUCUUCUGACGCUGAGGCGCGAAAGCCAGGGGAGCGAACGGG
rnacentral:rRNA from 1 species